UACGUAGGUGGCAAGCGUUGUCCGGAAUUAUUGGGCGUAAAGCGCGCGCAGGUGGUUCCAAAAGUCUGAUGUGAAAGCCCCCGGCUCAACCGGGGAGGGUCAUUGGAAACUGGGGAACUUGAGUGCAGGAGAGGAAAGUGGAAUUCCACGUGUAGCGGUGAAAUGCGUAGAUAUGUGGAGGAACACCAGUGGCGAAGGCGACUUUCUGGCCUGUAACUGACACUGAGGCGCGAAAGCGUGGGAAGCAAACAGGAUUAGAUACCCUGGUAGUCCACGCCGUAAACGAUGAGUGCUAAGUGUUGGGGGGUUUCCGCCCCUCAGUGCUGCAGCUAACGCAUUAAGCACUCCGCCUGGGGAGUACGGCCGCAAGGCUGAAACUC
rnacentral:rRNA from 1 species